rnacentral:rRNA from 1 species
CGACGUGAGGAACCUGCCUUUCGGAGGGGGACAACAGUUGGAAACGACUGCUAAUACCGCAUGAUACAUUUGGAUCGCAUGGUCUGAAUGUCAAAGAUUUAUCGCCGAAAGAUGGCCUCGCGUCUGAUUAGCUAGUUGGUGAGGUAAUGGCCCACCAAGGCGACGAUCAGUAGCCGGACUGAGAGGUUGGCCGGCCACAUUGGGACUGAGAUACGGCCCAGACUCCUACGGAAGGCAGCAG